CGGGACGUGGCGCAGUCCGGUAGCGCACUUGACUGGGGGUCAAGGGGCCGGAGGUUCAAAUCCUCUCGUUCCGA
rnacentral:tRNA from 1 species